GACGAACGCUGGCGGCGUGCCUAACACAUGCAAGUCGAGCGAUGAAGUUUCUUUCGGGAAAUGGAUUAGCGGCGGACGGGUGAGUAACACGUGGGUAACCUGCCUCAUAGAGGGGAAUAGCCUCCCGAAAGGGAGAUUAAUACCGCAUAAUAUUACAGUUUCGCAUGGAACAGUAAUUAAAGGAGUAAUCCGCUAUGAGGUGGACCCGCGGCGCAUUAGCUAGUUGGUGAGGUAACGGCUCACCAAGGCGACGAUGCGUAGCCGACCUGAGAGGGUGAUCGGCCACAUUGGGACUGGGACGCGGCCCAGACUCCUACGGGAGGCAGCAGUGGGGAAUAUUGCAAAAUGGGGGAAACCCUGAUGCAGCAACGCCGCGUGAGUGAUGACGGUCUUCGGAUUGUAAAGCUCUGUCUUUGGGGACGAUAAUGACGGUACCCAAGGAGGAAGCCACGGCUAACUACGUGCCAGCCGCCGCGGUAACAC
rnacentral:rRNA from 1 species